CCCUUAGAUGUUCUGGGCCGCACGCGCGCUACACUGACGAUGGCAACGAGUUUUUCCUUCGCCGAAAGGUGUGGGUAAUCUUUUGAAACAUCGUCGUGCUGGGGAUAGAUCAUUGCAAUUUUUGAUCUUGAACGAGGAAUUCCUAGUGAGCGCGAGUCAUCAGCUCGCGUUGAUUACGUCCCUGCCCUUUGUACACACCGCCCGUCGCUACUACCGAUUGAAUGGUUUAGUGAGGACUCCUGAUUGGCGCCGCCGCCCCGGCAACGGAGCAGCGGACUGCCGAAAAGUUGUUCAAACUUGAUCAUUUAGAGGAAGUAAAAGUCGUAACA
rnacentral:rRNA from 1 species